AACUUUCGGCAAUGGAUCACUAGGCUCUUGCAGCGAUGAAGAACGCAGCAAAAUGCGAAACGUGAUGCGAUUUGCAUGAAUCUGUGAGUCAUCUAAUCUUUGAACGCGAAUGGCACUGUUACGUAAGUAGCAGUAUGUCUGUUUGAGAAUCGCAAAACAAGAUCAACUCUAGUUGAGAGUUGGGAGUGGCCUUAUGUGCCUUGCGGUGCAUUUGGCUUGAACUGAUCGAGUUGAUGAGCUUCCCAGCGCGGUUCAAUGUGUGCUAGCGAGACAGUCGUCCCGAUCUCACAUUUCCGCUGCGUUGCAGAGUUCUGACCACAGCUCGCUAAAUUUCAACAUAUCAUAAACGAUCUCAAAUCAGGCAAGAUUACCCGCUGAACUUAAGCAUAUCAAUAAGCGGAGGCU
rnacentral:misc_RNA from 1 species